GACGAACGCUGGCGGCGUGCUUAACACAUGCAAGUCGAACGGAAAGGCCCUGCUUUUGUGGGGUGCUCGAGUGGCGAACGGGUGAGUAACACGUGAGUAACCUGCCCUGGACUUUGGGAUAACUUCAGGAAACUGGGGCUAAUACCGGAUAGGAGCUCCUGCUGCAUGGUGGGGGUUGGAAAGCUUCGGCGGUUGGGGAUGGACUCGCGGCUUAUCAGCUUGUUGGUGGGGUAGUGGCUUACCAAGGCUUUGACGGGUAGCCGGCCUGAGAGGGUGACCGGCCACAUUGGGACUGAGAUACGGCCCAGACUCCUACGGGAGGCAGCAGUGGGGAAUAUUGCACAAUGGGCGGAAGCCUGAUGCAGCAACGCCGCGUGCGGGAUGACGGCCUUCGGGUUGUAAACCGCUUUCGCCUGUGACGAAGCGUGAGUGACGGUAAUGGGUAAAGAAGCACCGGCUAACUACGUG
rnacentral:rRNA from 1 species